rnacentral:rRNA from 1 species
CCUACGAGAGGCAGCAGUGAGGAAUAUUGGUCAAUGGACGCAAGUCUGAACCAGCCAAGUAGCGUGCAGGAUGACGGCCCUCCGGGUUGUAAACUGCUUUUAGUUGGGAAUAAACGGGGGCUCGUGAGCCCCGUCUUGUAUGUACCAUCAGCAAAAGGACCGGCUAAUUCCGUGCCAGCAGCCGCGGUAAUACGGAAGGUCCGGGCGGUCUCCGGGUUUAUUGGGUUGAAAGGGCGCGUCGGUCGGCUUUUAAGUCCGGUGGGAAAGUCCGCGGCUCAACCGUGGAAGUGCAGUUGAAACUGGUGGCCUUGAGUGCACACAGGGAGGGCGGAAUUCAUGGUGUAGCGGUGAAAUGCUGAGAUAUCAUGAAGAACUCCGAUCGCGAAGGCAAGUGUCCGGGGUGCAACUGACGCUGAUGCUCGAAAGUGCGGGUAUCAAACAGGAUUAGAUACCCGAGUAGUC